UAAGGAAUAUUGGUCAAUGGACGCAAGUCUGAACCAGCCAUGCCGCGUGAAGGAUGAAGGUCCUCUGGAUUGUAAACUUCUUUUAUCUGGGACGAAAACGGGAUUUUUAUCUCAAUUGACGGUACCAGAGGAAUAAGCACCGGCUAACUCCGUGCCAGCAGCCGCGGUAAUACGGAGGGUGCGAGCGUUAUCCGGAUUUACUGGGUUUAAAGGGUGCGUAGGUGGGCUUAUAAGUCAGUGGUGAAAUCUCCGAGCUUAACUUGGAAACUGCCGUUGAUACUAUAGGUCUUGAAUUAUCUGGAGGUAAGCGGAAUAUGUCAUGUAGCGGUGAAAUGCUUAGAUAUGACAUAGAACACCAAUUUCGAAGGCAGCUUACUACAUAUAAAUUGACGCUGAGGCACGAAAGCGUGGGGA
rnacentral:rRNA from 1 species